CUCUUGCUUUAUAACUUGUUCCCCACGAUGUGAUGUCACAUAAACUUUUAGAUAAAAUGUGGCUAUCAAUAAACAGACAUACAAAUGGGUCUUCCUAUUUUUUUAGGUCUAAUAGACAUGACAAAGGACAAAAUCACAAAGACCUCAACCAUAGAAAACUGCCCUCAGGUAUGGAUUUAGAAUUUGAAGUGAGGGGUACUCUAUUAAACAAAAGACUAGGAGAUAUUUAAUAUAAUUUAGACAGGCCUGGGGAAAUCCCUAGAAUAAGAAAAAAAUCUUUUUUUGGCUUGAACAGGUCAACAAAUUUUAAUGGAGCACUUCUUACUUCAAAUGAAAUAGACAACACUGGUAUUUGACCCCUUACAUCAUUUAUAUUUAACCCUUUCUUUCAUAAUGACGCCUUUUGACGCCACCCCCUUUACUCCAUAAUGAUGCCUUUUGACGCCUGUGUAGUACCUCAGUUGAAAUGCUAUGUCUGCAUCAGACUUAAAAAAAAUGUAUCCAAUAUGAAAAGGAGAUUCAUGAGAAUAUCUGACUUGAAUUUCAUUGAUGAAAUAUUAGUUUUCACAAUGCAUUAACACUUUAAACCUGAUGAUUUUUUUUACUGAAAAAA
rnacentral:lncRNA from 1 species